UGUCAGCCUCCAGCAACGGCUUCUCACUCCCCCUUCCUAAUUUGCUGAUUGUCAUUCAUCCAUGACUAAGAAAUUAGAAAGACCCAGAUCAGACAGUCAAUGCUGAAGAUCAACAGGAUGACCAAUGCCACAGUCAGAGCCAAGUGAAUGUGAAAAGAACUAUCAUAAGACCCAGGGUGUUCUCCAGGCCCAUAGGAGGCACGUGUGUCCUCACCACAGCCAUACCUCUCAGCACCCCCAUCUCCCAGUCCUCGUUCCGCUGUUCCAGUGAAAUCAGAUGGGACCAGCCAGCACAUCAGCAAGUCACCCGCUUGGAGACCAGGAUGCCCGCCUCCCCUU